rnacentral:rRNA from 1 species
AGUAGCUGCAGGAAAAGAAAUCAACCGAGAUUCCCAAAGUAGUGGCGAGCGAAAUGGGAAGAGCCUGUACGUGAUAGUCGGACUGAUAGUGGAAGCUUCUGGAAAUAGGCGCCAUAGCGGGUGAUAGCCCCGUACACGAAAUCAGACCGGUGGUACUAAGCGUACGACAAGUAGGGCGGGACACGAGAAAUCCUGUUUGAACAUGGGGGGACCACCCUCCAAGCCUAAG